rnacentral:lncRNA from 1 species
CUCGUCGUAUUCGUCAUCAUCUUCCUCUUCUCCAUCGACGUCAGCAUGGGCGCGCUUUAGAGGGGAGCGGGCGGCUCGCUUGGCGGCCGCUGCCGCAGAGGUGGAUGGCUGGUCCGAGUUGGCUGCUCUUGUUGUUGCUGUUGUCGCUGUAGUGGUGGUGAUUUUGGCUGGCUUCACUGCAGCUUGGGCUGCCGCUGCUGUUGUCUGCUGCUGCUGCUGCUGCUGCUGAUCAGGCAGGCCGGAUAACAGAGCAGUUAACAGACUUUGUCUGGCUGCUGCUGUUAACGGCUGCUGCGUCGCUGUCGUAUUGGCGGGCGGCGCUGCAGCUGCUGCUGUUGCUGUUACAGCCGCUGCUGCUCUUGCUGGCUCUGGCGUCCCGAGCGGCGAUCGAACCGAGUUCGAACCAACAUUUUGGUUCGAUGUCGGCUCUCUUCCGCUCGCUGUCUCUCUGGAGCGCCGCUGUUGCUGUUGCUGCUGUUGCUGUUGCUGUUGCUGCACACGAAGCUGCAGUUCGGGCCUUCCAUUGGUGUGGCUUUCUCCCGCUCCUUGCCGUUUUCGGCUCUCUCCACCCUUGUCGGCGUCAGCGAGCGGGACGCUGAUUUCGUCACCGUUGCCGUUGCAUUUGCCGGUAUUGGUGUGUGUGCGAGUGUGAGAGGGAGGCGGAGAAAAGUGCAUCUUUGGCGCGCUAGCGGGGGCUUGGCUUGGCGUCGCUUUUUUUUUUGUUUUAAAUUUUUAAUUGUCAGGGAACUUCUUAAUGGCGUUUUCACAGAACAAAAUUGUACAAAAUAUUUGAUCUUAAUUUAACAUGGUGGAUU